UGGGGAAUAUUGCACAAUGGGCGCAAGCCUGAUGCAGCCAUGCCGCGUGUAUGAAGAAGGCCUUCGGGUUGUAAAGUACUUUCAGCGGGGAGGAAGGUGUUGUGGUUAAUAACCGCAGCAAUUGACGUUACCUGCAGAAGAAGCACCGGCUAACUCCGUG
rnacentral:rRNA from 1 species